UUGGAUAUAUUAAAUUACCAGACAUAUGAAUUUAUUUAUGGAUUUUAUUUCCUUGUUUAUUGAGCAAUUCACUUUACAUAUACUCAAAGUUUUGUCAUCAUCAAAAAGGGGGAGAUUGUGGAGUGAUUCAUUAAAACCCUAUUUGAUUUUGAUGAGCUCAAAGCAUUAGAGUAUAUAUGUUGUUUACUAAUGAAUUCAAUUGAGUGUUUCAGUGAAAAUCUUGUCUAAGUGUCUCAAGACUUGGUUCAUAAUAUUUUGGAUAAGUUAAGAAGUCAGUUUGAACCA
rnacentral:lncRNA from 1 species